rnacentral:rRNA from 1 species
AUUGUACGCUGGCGGCAUGCUUUACACAUGCAAGUCGAACGGUAACAGGCCGCAAGGUGCUGACGAGUGGCGCACGGGUGAGUAAUGCAUCGGAACGUGCCCAGUCGUGGGGGAUAACUACUCGAAAGAGUAGCUAAUACCGCAUACGAUCUAUGGAUGAAAGCGGGGGACCGUAAGGCCUCGCGCGAUUGGAGCGGCCGAUGUCAGAUUAGGUAGUUGGUGGGGUAAAGGCUCACCAAGCCAACGAUCUGUAGCUGGUCUGAGAGGACGACCAGCCACACUGGGACUGAGACACGGCCCAGACUCCUACGGGAGGCAGCAGUGGGGAAUUUUGGACAAUGGGCGCAAGCCUGAUCCAGCAAUGCCGCGUGCAGGAAGAAGGCCUUCGGGUUGUAAACUGCUUUUGUACGGAACGAAACGGCUCUGGUUAAUACCCGGGGCUAAUGACGGUACCGUAAGAAUAAGCACCGGCUAACUACGUG